rnacentral:rRNA from 1 species
AUUGAACGCUGGCGGCAGGCCUAACACAUGCAAGUCGAACGGUAACAGGAAGAAGCUUGCUUCUUUGCUGACGAGUGGCGGACGGGUGAGUAAUGUCUGGGAAACUGCCUGAUGGAGGGGGAUAACUACUGGAAACGGUAGCUAAUACCGCAUAACGUCGCAAGACCAAAGAGGGGGACCUUCGGGCCUCUUGCCAUCGGAUGUGCCCAGAUGGGAUUAGCUAGUAGGUGGGGUAACGGCUCACCUAGGCGACGAUCCCUAGCUGGUCUGAGAGGAUGACCAGCCACACUGGAACUGAGACACGGUCCAGACUCCUACGGGAGGCAGCAGUGGGGAAUAUUGCACAAUGGGCGCAAGCCUGAUGCAGCCAUGCCGCGUGUAUGAAGAAGGCCUUCGGGUUGUAAAGUACUUUCAGCGGGGAGGAAGGGAAUAAAGUUAAUACCUUUGCUCAUUGACGUUACCCGCAGAAGAAGCACCGGCUAACUCCGUG